GGGGCAGUAGCUCAGUUGAUAGAGCGCUUCGUUCGCAAUGAAGAGGUCGUGGGUUUGAUUCCCAUCUGCUCCACCA
rnacentral:tRNA from 2 species